rnacentral:rRNA from 1 species
UACCAGCGCCCCGAGCGGUCGGGACGUUUAUUGGGCCUAAAGCAUCCGUAGCCGGUUCUACAAGUCUUCCGUUAAAUCCACCUGCUUAACAGAUGGGCUGCGGAAGAUACUAUGGAGCUAGGAGGCGGGAGAGGCAAGCGGUACUCGAUGGGUAGGGGUAAAAUCCGUUGAUCCAUUGAAGACCACCAGUGGCGAAGGCGGCUUGCCAGAACGCGCUCGACGGUGAGGGAUGAAAGCUGGGGGAGCAAACCGG